rnacentral:rRNA from 1 species
CCUACGGGAGGCAGCAGUGGGGAAUAUUGCACAAUGGGGGAAACCCUGAUGCAGCGACGCCGCGUGAGUGAUGAAGUAUUUCGGUAUGUAAAGCUCUAUCAGCAGGGAAGAAAAUGACGGUACCUGACUAAGAAGCCCCGGCUAACUACGUGCCAGCAGCCGCGGUAAUACGUAGGGGGCAAGCGUUAUCCGGAUUUACUGGGUGUAAAGGGAGCGUAGACGGCGGUGCAAGUCAGAUGUGAACGCCCGGGGCUCAACCCCGGGACUGCAUUUGAAACUGUGGGGCUAGAGGUUCGGAGAGGCAGGCGGAAUUCCUAGUGUAGCGGUGAAAUGCGUAGAUAUUAGGAGGAAAAUCAGUGGCGAAGGCGGCUAUCUGGACGACAACUGACGCUGAGGCACGAAAGCGUGGGGAGCAAACAGGAUUAGAUACCCCUGUAGUC